rnacentral:rRNA from 1 species
UCCAUGAAGUCCGAAUCGAGAGUAAUCGUAGAUCGGAAGGCUACGGGGAAUACGUUCGCUGGCCUUGUAUCAUGAACGGCCCGUCACACCAUGGGAGUGGGUGGCAAAAGAUUCCUUUACUUAACCUUCGGGAGGGCGCUGACCACUUGUGAUUCAGACUGGGGGAAGUCUA